rnacentral:rRNA from 1 species
UACAGAGGGGGCAAGCGUUGUUCGGAAUUACUGGGCGUAAAGGCGCGUAGGCGGCCUGCUAAGUCGAACGUGAAAUCCCUGGGCUCAACCCAGGAACUGCGUCCGAUACUGGUUGGCUUGAAUCCGGGAGAGGGAUGUGGAAUUCCAGGUGUAGCGGUGAAAUGCGUAGAUAUCGGGAGGAACACCUAUGGCGAAGGCAGCUCGCUGGGACGUUACUGACGCUGAGACGCGAAAGCGUGGGGAGCAAACAGG